rnacentral:rRNA from 1 species
AGACCGAUAGCGAACAAGUACUGAGACCGAUAGCGAACAAGCACUUUGNAAAAGAGAGUGAAACAGCACGUGAAAUUGUUGAAAGGGAAGGGUAUUGCGCCCGACAUGGAGCGUGCGCACCGCUGCCCCUCGUGGGCGGCGCUCUGGGCGUGCUCUGGGCCAGCAUCGGUUUUUGCCGCGGGAGAAGGGCGGCGGGCAUGUAGCUCUUCGGAGUGUUAUAGCCUGCCGCCGGCGCCGCGAGCGGGGACCGAGGACUGCGACUUUUGUCUCGGAUGCUGGCACAACGGCGCAACACCGCCCGUCUUGAAACACGGACCAAG